rnacentral:rRNA from 1 species
AUGGCUUCUGAUGGGCUCCCAGAGGCAGUCGAACCCAAGCUGAAGAAGGGCAACAUCAAGUAUGCCUCCACCUGCGCCGUCGUCGCCUCCAUGGCCUCCAUCGUCCUCGGCUACGACAUCGGUGUGAUGAGCGGGGCGUCGCUGUACAUCCAGAAAGACCUCGAGAUCACGGACGUGCAGGUGGAGAUCCUCAUGGGCAUCCUGAGCAUCUACUCCAUCAUCGGCUCCUUCGCCGCCGGCAGGACGUCCGACUGGAUCGGCCGCCGCUUCACGGUGAUCUUUGUCGCCGCCUUCUUCUUUGCUGGUGCCUUGCUCAUGGGCUUCGCGAACGGCUACACCAUGCUCAUGCUUGGUCGCUUCGUGGCCGGCAUCGGCGUGGGCUACGCCAUCGUGAUCGCUCCCCUGUACACGGCUGAGAUCGCCCCGGCGUCGGCGCGCGGCUUCCUCGUGUCCUUCACGGAGGUCUUCAUCAACCUUGGUAUCCUCCUCGGCUACGUCUCCAACUACGCCUUCGCUCGCCUCCCUCUCCACCUCGGCUGGCGCUUCAUGCUCGGCAUUGGCGCGAUGCCAUCCGUCCUUCUUGCCCUCCUGCUGUCCGGCAUGCCGGAGUCUCCCCGGUGGCUCGUCAUGAAAGGCCGCCUCGCGGACGCGAGGAUCGUGCUGGAGAAGAUCGCCGACACGCCGGAGGAGGCCGAGGAGCGCCUCGCUGACAUCAAGACCGCUGCCGGAAUCCCAGACGACCUCGACGGCGACGUGGUGGUCGUGCCCAGGAAGAGAGGCGGCGAGGAGAAGCAGGUGUGGAGAGAGCUCAUCGUGUCGCCGACCCCCUCCAUGCGGCGAAUACUGCUCACGGCGCUCGGCCUCUUCUUCUUCCAGCAGUUGACGGGCUCCGACUCCGUGGUGCUUUACAGCCCGCGCGUGUUCGAGAGCGCCGGUAUCACCGGCGACGACCAACUCCUGGCCGCCACCUGCGCCAUGGGCGUCGCCAAGACGCUCGUCAUCCUGGUCGCUAUGUUCCUCCUCGACCGCGUCGGCCGGCGGCCGCUGCUGCUAUGCAGCACCGGCGGCAUGAUCGUCUCGCUCGUCGGCCUCGCGACGGGCCUCACCGUCGUGGAUCAGAACCCGGACGCGAGGAUCCCGUGGGCGGUCGGCCUGUGCGUGGCGUCCGUCCUGGCCUACGUGUCAUCCUUCUCCAUCGGCCUCGGGCCCGUGUUGGGCGUGUACACCACGGAGAUAUUCCCGCUGCGGGUGCGCGCGCUGGGCUUCGCGGUCGGGGCGGCCGGCAACCGUGUGGUGAGCGGCGUCAUGUCCAUGACCUUCCUCUCGCUGUCCGGCGCCAUCACGCUGGGCGGAACCUUCUUCCUCUACGCCGGCAUCGCCGUGCUCGCGUGGGUGUUCUUCUUCACCUGCCUCCCUGAGACGCGCGGCCGGACGCUGGAGGAGAUGGGCAGUCUGUUCGGCAUGACCGACACGGGGGCGGAGGCACAAGAUGCUGCCCCCGGGACACAGGACGCGAGCUGCAGGGUGAGACUCUUGGGCAACUCGCCUGGAGCCAGAGUUGAUUAA